rnacentral:lncRNA from 1 species
AAACUUUGAAUAUCACUUUAUUAUAUAAAUUUGCAUAAAAAAGUUUCAAAAAUUAAUUUUAAAAUAUACAAUUAUCUAUCUAAAGUACACUCAGUUAUUCAACUAUAAGCUAUAAAAUUCUGAAAGGUUUCACAUCAAAAUAAAACUAAGUUCUAAGUAUUAGAUUUGGGGAUUCAAGAUGUUGAAAUCAGAUGAUUUUCUGCAGUCAAGGAUGAAGUAAUUUCACUCUUUGCAUCAAGACCGAUCAUUGAUCUUCUUGGAUUCAAUAGAUUAAAAUGCACCAUGUAAAUUCAAAAGAGACAAAAAUUAGCACAAAGAAUGAGCGAACCAUUAAUACAAAUAUGCAAGUUUGAAAAUACAUAAAUAUACCUGGAAAGAGAGAAGGCGCUUUGGUUUGCUCUGUACAUGUGAAGAGAGAAAGUGUUGUUGAAGAAGGAAAUGUGAAAAGGGAGGAAAGGGGGAGGUGGAUGGGAAGGGAACGCAGGGGGAGGCGGCUGGGAAGGGGAUGCACAAAGUGAGUUUGAAGGUUUUUAUUAGGUUUUGG